UACGUAGGGUGCAAGCGUUGUCCGGAAUUAUUGGGCGUAAAGAGCUCGUAGGCGGUUUGUUGCGUCGGCUGUGAAAUCCCGAGGCUCAACCUCGGGUCUGCAGUCGAUACGAGCAAACUAGAGUGUUGCAGGGGAGACUGGAAUUCCUGGUGUAGCGGUGAAAUGCGCAGAUAUCAGGAGGAACACCGGUGGCGAAGGCGGCUUUCUGGACAGAAACUGACGCUGAGGCGCGAAAGCUAGGGGAGCAAACAGG
rnacentral:rRNA from 1 species